rnacentral:rRNA from 1 species
UACGGGGGGGGGCAAGCGUUGUUCGGAAUUACUGGGCGUAAAGGGCUCGUAGGCGGCCAACUAAGUCGGAUGUGAAAUCCCCAGGCUCAACCUGGGAACUGCAUCCGAUACUGGAUGGCUUGAAUUCGGGAGAGGGAUGCAGAAUUCCAGGUGUAGCGGUGAAAUGCGUAGAUAUCUGGAGGAACACCGGUGGCGAAGGCGGCAUCCUGGACCGGUAUUGACGCUGAGGCGCGAAAGCCAGGGGAGCAAAGCGGG